GUGCCCGUAGCUCAGUUGGAUAGAGCAACGGCCUUCUAAGCCGUCGGUCGGGGGUUCGAAUCACUUCGGGUACGCCA
rnacentral:tRNA from 1 species